rnacentral:lncRNA from 1 species
CUCUUCAUCUCCCCUCCCUCCUGCCGGCAAAGCAACCGCAUUAUCAUAUCCGGUGGAACCACCUCUACCCUUUGGGUCAAGAAAUGACGAUCCUCUGUAAGAUGGCACUAGAAAUUCUCCACUAAAGCUCUCUGGUUUCCCAGAUGCUACGAGCUGUUUGAUUGUGAAUAGGAAUGGCACACGUUCACCUCCGGGAAGCUGAACAGUCACAGCAGCGUAGUCGAUUCCGUCUUUCUCCUCGAACUUAAUGGAUCCAUCAGGAGACACUUCGAGGGGACCCUCGAUCUCGUCAAGGGUGUAGGUCAAACGGGUCAUGAGUUUGGUUUUUUGGAACUCGGGUGUAGAGUUCUUGCUUACACCUUCGGCUUUGACUGUGAAUGAUGUGGGUUCAAGGCAGAAUUUCUUGGCGUUGUAUUUGCCGGACUUGAAAGCAAACCCAGUAACUCCGCCGUCGAUGGUUGGGCAUUGGUUAGCUGUUCCGGUUCCUUUUACUUCCAUGUAUGUCUUGCUUUGGAUCUCAUCGAAAGUUAACCUUUUUGGACUUCCCUCAGCACUUGCUCCCUGAUACAAUAUCAAUAUACAUGUAUACACACUUACGCAAAUAAACAAAACAGUUAUAAUAUAUACUUGGAUCAAUAUGUCACUAACAGUCAAAGAACCGGAGGAGACAUACCGAAACAACAAGGGCAGAAGUGGCAAGAGCGAAUCCGGCGAUCUUGGCAGCAUCGGUGCAUUUCUGAGCGAAGUCCUUGAGAUCAGCCUGAAGAGAGCAAGACACCCUGGCUCCGGAGGACUCGACACCGAAGGCCUUGCAGAUGCUCGGAGAAGACUUUAGCUGCAGACGGCCGGAGACACCCACCUUGGUUGGUUGCAUGAAAGUUGCCGCUGCUUGCAGUGAAGCUGCCAUUGCUG